rnacentral:rRNA from 1 species
UGGGCAACCUGCCCUCAGCACUGGGAUAACCCCGGGAAACCGGGGCUAAUACCGGAUACGACCUCGGCGGGCAUCCGCUGAGGUGGAAAGUGUCAGUGGCUGAGGAUGGGCCCACGGCCUAUCAGCUUGUUGGUGGGGUAACGGCCUACCAAGGCGACGACGGGUAGCCGGCCUGAGAGGGCGACCGGCCACACUGGGACUGAGACACGGCCCAGACUCCUACGGGAGGCA